rnacentral:lncRNA from 1 species
CCUGCGCCUCCUCCGCCGCCUGCUCCUGCGGGAAGGGCCUCCGCCGCGGCGCGCCUCUCGCCUCUGCUUCUCCUUCCCUCCUCUCCGCGCGCCCCUCCAGAAUGUUCAUCCGUAAUCUACAUAACUCCUCCUUCCCGGGGUCUGCCCGACUCCCGGGUGCUCGGCGCGCGCGCGGACACGCGCACACACAUAUGCACGCGCACACACAUAUGCACACGCACACACACACACACACACACACGUCUGCAAACGAGCACACACACAACCCGACCUGCGCGCGCUUCUUAAAGGAGACGGCUCGUAAAGGGGAAUCGCGCUCUGGAAGCAGCCAGCGCGCGCGAGGGGCCCUGGAUGAGGACCGCGUCUGUGACACACCGCCCACCCUCAUCCCCGAGGCGGGCACCCGGGAACCUGGGCGGCUCCAUCCUUUCGUCUCGCCCUCCCCGCGCCGUGUACCUAGAAACAACCAGCAGAGGGGAAGAGGAGCCCGCGGGAAGAACCGCAGGCGAGACGGAGAAUGAGGGCCAUUCAGGGUGUGACAGCCGCCUCGGCGAGGCUUAGAGGGACUCACCAGGGAGAUGCGCAGGUCAGCUGGUCGAGCAAAAGUAGGCCUGCAAGACGUCGUGAUGUGAUGGCAGGGGACGACGCAAUGCCUGCUUGAGGAGAUGCAGUGAGAAACAUCUCAUGGCGAGGAAGCUCCUCCCCAUGUGGCUUAGCCGGGACUCAAAGAUGCCCCCUUCUUCACCCGCGACAAGGCCAGACACAGACUCUAAAUUCCCUUCUUUGCUCACAAACGAUUUUCUGAACUGCUUGCCACAUGAUCAGUGGGAACAAAAUGCUUGUUAACCAGACUUUGGUUAAACUUCUUCCUUUCUCUGAAGACCCUGAGCUCUGACUCACCCUCAGCCUGAGCUCAUGUUGCAGCCUCUCCUUGAGAGCCGAGGAGAGGCGGGCAUCGGGU